GAUCCUGGCUUAGGAUGAACGCUAGCUACAGGCUAACACAUGCAAGUCGAGGGGCAGCAUGUGGUUGCUUGCAACCAAUGAUGGCGACCGGCGCACGGGUGAGUAACGCGUAUCCAACCUUCCCUAUAGUAGAGGAUAGCCCGGCGAAAGUCGGAUUAAUACUCUAUGUUUUCCAAUGCAGACAUCUAAAAUGGAACAAAGGUUCACCGCUAUAGGAUGGGGAUGCGUCUGAUUAGAUAGUCGGCGGGGUAACGGCCCACCGAGUCGACGAUCAGUAGGGGUUCUGAGAGGAAGGUCCCCCACAUUGGAACUGAGACACGGUCCAAACUCCUACGGGAGGCAGCAGUGAGGAAUAUUGGUCAAUGGGCGAGAGCCUGAACCAGCCAAGUAAGCGUGCAGGAUGACGGCCCUAUGGGUUGUAAACUGCUUUUAUACAGGGAUAAAGUGACGUACGUGUACGUUUUUGUAGGUACUGUAUGAAUAAGGACCGGCUAAUUCCGUGCCAGCCGCGGC
rnacentral:rRNA from 1 species